GAUGAAGAACGUAGCGAAAUGCGAUAAGUAAUGUGAAUUGCAGAAUUCAGUGAAUCAUCGAAUCUUUGAACGCACAUUGCGCCCGCUAGUAUUCUGGCGGGCAUGCCUGUUCGAGCGUCAUUUCAACCAUCAAGCCCUGCUUGUGUUGGGGUCCUGCGGCUGCCCGCAGGCCCUGAAAACCAGUGGCGGGCUCGCUAGUCACACCGAGCGCAGUAGCACAUCUCGCUCAGGGCGUGCGGCGGGUUCUUGCCGUAAAACACCCCCUUUUACCAAGGUUGACCUCGGAUCAGGUAGGAAUACCCGCUGAACUUAAGCAUAUCAAUAAGCGGAGGA
rnacentral:misc_RNA from 1 species